rnacentral:rRNA from 1 species
ACCUUCUCAUCAUCAUCAUAACACACUGGUCCUCGUUCGAUCAGCGAAGUUAAGCAACGUCGGGCGCGGUCAGUACUUGGAUGAGUGGCCGCCUGGGAACACCACGUGACGUUGGCG